rnacentral:rRNA from 1 species
AACAGGAUUAGAUACCCUGGUAGUCCACGCCGUAAACGAUGAGUGCUAGGUGUUAGGGGGUUUCCGCCCCUUAGUGCUGCAGUUAACGCAUUAAGCACUCCGCCUGGGGAGUACGGCCGCAAAGCUGAAACUCAAAAGAAUUGACGGGGGCCCGCACAAGCGGUGGAGCAUGUGGUUUAAUUCGAAGCAACGCGAAGGACCUUACCAGGUCUUGACAUCUUUGGACCACCCUAGAGAUAGGGUCUUCCCUUCGGGGACAGAGUGACAGGUGGUGCAUGGUUGUCGUCAGCUCGUGUCGUGAGAUGUUGGGUUAAGUCCCGCAACGAGCGCAACCCUUGAUCUUAGUUGCCAGCAUUCAGUUGGGCACUCUAAGGUGACUGCCGGUGACAAACCGGAGGAAGGUGGGGAUGACGUCAAAUCAUCAUGCCCCUUAUGACCUGGGCUACACACGUGCUACAAUGGAUGGUACAAAGGGCAGCGAAGCCGCGAGGUGAAGCUAAUCCCAUAAAACCAUUCUCAGUUCGGAUUGCAGGCUGCAACUCGCCUGUAUGAAGCCGGAAUCGCUAGUAAUCGUGGAUCAGCAUGCCACGGUGAAUACGUUCCCGGGCCUUGUACACACCGCCCGUCACACCACGAGAGUUAGCAACACCCGAAGUCGGUGGGGUAACCAUUUAUGGAGCCAGCCGCCGAAGGUGGGGCCAAUGAUUGGGGUGAAGUCGUAACAAGGUAACC